UACGGGGGGAGCAAGCGUUGUUCGGAUUUACUGGGCGUAAAGGGCGCGUAGGCGGCCACCGCAAGUCGACUGUGAAAUCUCCGGGCUUAACCCGGAAAGGUCAGCCGAUACUGCGGGGCUAGAGUGCAGAAGGGGCAACUGGAAUUCUCGGUGUAGCGGUGAAAUGCGUAGAUAUCGAGAGGAACACCUGCGGCGAAGGCGGCCCGCUGGGCAGGAAGGCUCGCAAGAGCCGGCUGACACUGAGGCGCGACAGCGUGGGGAGCAAACAGG
rnacentral:rRNA from 1 species